rnacentral:rRNA from 1 species
UACGUAGGCAGCAAGCGUUGUUCGGAAUUACUGGGCGUAAAGCGUGUGUAGGCGGGAGUUUAAGUGCAAUGCGAAAUCUUGUGGCUCAACCAUAUAGACUGUAUUGCAUACUGGACACCUUGAGGAUGGCAGAGGCAAGUGGAAUUUGUAGUGUAGCAGUGAAAUGCGUAGAUAUUACAAGGAACACCAAUGGCGAAGGCAGCUUGCUGGGCCAUAUCUGACGCUGAGACACGAAAGCGUGGGGAGCGAACAGG